GCCCGGGUGGUGGAAUCGGUAUACACACACGUUUGAGGGGCGUGGUCUUUUAUAGACGUGCGGGUUCAAGUCCCGCCUCGGGCA
rnacentral:tRNA from 1 species